GACGAACGCUGGCGGCGUGCUUAACACAUGCAAGUCGAACGGAAAGGCCCUGCUUGCCGGGUGCUCGAGUGGCGAACGGGUGAGUAACACGUGGGUGAUCUGCCCCUUACUUUGGGAUAAGCCUGGGAAACUGGGUCUAAUACUGGAUAGGACCAUGCUGUAGGUGGUGUGGUGGAAAGAUUAGUUUCGGUAAGGGAUGAGCUCGCGGCCUAUCAGCUUGUUGGUGGGGUAAUGGCCUACCAAGGCGUCGACGGGUAGCCGGCCUGAGAGGGUGGACGGCCACAUUGGGACUGAGAUACGGCCCAGACUCCUACGGGAGGCAGCAGUGGGGAAGAGUGCACAAUGGGCGCAAGCCUGAUGCAGCGACGCCGCGUGGGGGAUGACGGCCUUCGGGUUGUAAACUCCUUGCAGCCAUGACGAAGCCCUUGUGGUGACGGUAGUGGUAGAAGAAGCACCGGCUAACUACGUG
rnacentral:rRNA from 1 species